AUGGGGAGAGUGAUGAUGCUCUGUCGGCGGGCGGACAAAGUUGUUGUGCAGGAGCUUAUUCGUAUGCUUGAUGCGUGCAACCCAUUGGUGCAGAAGUUUAGGCUUGCCCGUGACAGGCUGUUAGAAUCUGGUGCUACUUCUGUCGCUAUUAAGUUUUAUGGUGACGAGGGAGGCUCUCAUGGAACCCGGUAUUCAGGGCCGACUAUGUCUGAGGUUGCUGCGCUUGUGGUUGGUGAUCUGACUCCAGAGGUUGCUCGCUUUGAUAUUGUUGUGAAGGCUGAAAAUGGUCCGCUUCAACACGUUUCUCCCUUGAACGCAAAUGUGAUGUCUUUACAGUAUCCUUUGUUGUUCCCGUAUGGCGACAAGGCUUUUUACCUUGGUAUCAAGUAA
rnacentral:rRNA from 1 species